ensembl:misc_RNA Metazoa_SRP Metazoan signal recognition particle RNA
GCCGGGCGUGGUGGCGCGUGCCUGUAAUCCCAGCUACUCGGGAGGCUGAGACAGGAGAAUCGCUUGAACUCAGGAGGCGGAGGUGGCAGUGGGCCGAGAUCGCGCCACUGCACUCCAGCCUGGGCGACAGAACGAGACUCCGUCUCAC